GAAUCCGAAGUUUCAGAAUUUUCCGUGUCCUGAAACUAUUUUAAAAACACGAUUAUAAUUAGUUAAGAAAUCAGAAAAGAGUUAGGAAAGAGUGAAAAAAUACUUUCCAGAGUGUUCGAAUGGAGUCACAACAUUGAAUCAGUAAGAUCCUAAGAGUUCCUCAAAAACUGUUUUAAUUGCUAUUUAACGAUUCAACCAAUGUAGAACGGGUUGAGGAAGAUGCGAGCUGAAACAAACGGAGACCUUUAAAAAAUCAUCAGAUCUUCCAAGCUGUCCUGAUUUCUUCAAUGAGAUGCCGGUUCAGCAUUGCAUGUUGGGGUUCAUUUAUAAAUUCAAAUGAUUUAUAUGCUUAUUAAAUAAAUGUUGUAGUUCAUUUUAGUUUCA